AAUCAACGCUGGCGGCGUGCCUCAGACAUGCAAGUCGAAAGAUUAAGACUUCCUUCGGGAAGUGUAUAAAGUGGCGCACGGGUGAGUAACACGUAAGUAAUCUACCUUCGAGUGGGGAAUAACAUCGGGAAACCGAUGCUAAUACCGCAUAAUGCAGCGGCAUCGCAAGAUGACAGUUGUUAAAGGAGCAAUUCGCUUGAAGAGGUGCUUGCGGCAGCUUAGCUAGUUGGUAAGGUAAUGGCUUACCAAGGCUACGAUCUUUAUCCGGUCUAAGAGGACGGUGGUACACACUGACACUGAAUAACGGGUCAAGCUCCUACGGGGAGCAGCAGUCGGGAAUUUUGGGCAAUGGGCGAAAGCCUGACCCAGCAACGCCGCGUGAGGGAUGAAGUAUUUCGGUAUGUAAACCUCGAAAGAAUGGGAAGAAUAAAUGACGGUACCAUUUAUAAGCUCCGGCUAACUACGUGCCAGCAGCCGCAGUAAAAC
rnacentral:rRNA from 1 species